UUUUUUUUUAAUUUAAAUUUUUAUUUUUACUUUAUUUUACUUUACAGUACUGUAUUGGUUUUGCCAUACAUUGACAUGAAUCCACCACAGGUGUACAUGCGUUCCCAAACAUGAACCCCCCUCCUACCUCCCUCCCCAUAACAUCUCUCUGGGUCAUCCCCGUGCACCAGUCCCAAGCAUCCUGUAUCCUGCAUCGGACAUAGACUGACGAUUCGUUUCUUACAUGAUAAUUACAAAGAAAGUGGAGCACCUGGAAGAACUGGAGCUAUUUCCAUGGCAUCAGGCUUCAGGACAUCAGGUUCAACAGGUCCCUAAUCCUUAAGAAUAAAACAGGAGGUCAAUCCUAAAGGUUUAUCAACCCUGAACAUUCAUUGGAAGGACUGAUUCUGAAGCUAAACUUCCAAUACUUUGGGCACCUGAUGCGAAGAGCCGACUCAAUGGAAAAGACCCUGAUGCUGGGAAAGACUGAAGACGGGAGGAGAAGGGGAGAAGAUGAGAUGGUUGGAUAGCAUCAACUACUCAAUGGACAUGAGUCUGAGCAAACUCCAGGAAAUGAUGGACAGGGAAGGCUGGCAUGCUGCAGUCCAUGGGGUCACAAAGAGUUGGACACAACUGAGUGACUGAACAACAACCAGAGGCUUGCUUGAUGGUGCAAAAACAAAAGUAAAGAUCAUUGCUCACUAAGGAAAUCUGGACUCCAGGUUGGGAUCCUAGAUUGUGGAUCUCCACAUUCCAAGCCAUCUAAUGGUCCUCUUUUCUAGUUAGCUUGUGGAAGCCUGAAAUGGAGGAAAACACUGCUUAUCCUGGGAUAAAUCAAUUAGUAUGUUGAAG
ensembl:lncRNA